AUCUUCCCCAAAUCUCUCGUCCCUCUCAAUUUUCUGUAAAUCAUAUGUUGAGCAGCCGAAGAAUCAAAUGAGCAAUAUCCCAUCUUCGUUCACGGAUUCCUCCUUCAACCUCUUUACUCUCGCCAUUUCUUCUUCCGAUCCUUGGCCAUUUUCUCUCUGACGCCCUCAAUUUCUUCCUCCGAUCGUCUGUUCUGUUUUGUUUUGAUCUGUUCUGUACUUCCGAUGAAGCAUCAGCACCUUCCGCCGCUGAACUUUCAUCUUCAUUUGCCUCACUUCCAUCACCGGAGCAAGCCGGACACUCCCAAGGGCUGUUUGGCUGUUCUUGUUGGCCAAGAACAAGAGAGGUUCGUGAUUCCUGUCAUUUAUGUCAAUCAUCCGCUGUUCGUGCAGCUCUUGAAGGACGCUGAAGAUGAGUAUGGCUUCGAUCAGAAAGAUUGUGGUGUUUUUGUCAUUUGUUUCUUUUUGUGAAGAUUUGCGUCUCUGUUGAAGCUCAAACAACAUAAUCAGAGCUGUCUGAAAUGGAUUCUGAGUAAUUUUUUAUUAUUCUAGCGAUGGCAGCUAUAACUUCGCUGCACGCGUCUUCUUCAUAUGUAAACUAAUCCAGCUUGAAUAAUGAAAAGUCAAAUUCUAUUAUUAAAAUAAGAAAAAUGGAUUGUGCUUCUUCCA